UACGUAGGGUGCAAGCGUUACUCGGAAUCACUGGGCGUAAAGCGUGCGUAGGCGGUUCGUUAAGUCUGCUGUGAAAGCCCUGGGCUCAACCUGGGAACUGCAGUGGAUACUGGCGGACUAGAGUGUGAUAGAGGAUGGUGGAAUUCCCGGUGUAGCGGUGAAAUGCGUAGAGAUCGGGAGGAACACCAGUGGCGAAGGCGGCCAUCUGGAUCAACACCGACGCUGAGGCACGAAAGCGUGGGGAGCAAACAGG
rnacentral:rRNA from 1 species